GAAUCCUCAAAAAACCCCUGAGCCCCACAUGAGCGGAGUCUCCAUCCUGGCCCAGGCAGCUGAGCUGGGCCGCAGGAGACGCGUCGCUCGCCUGACAGUGUCCCCGAGAGCUGGGAGGGGAUGGCCGGAUGGGGACGUGGCAGGCGGGGGCACGCGAAGGCAGCUCGGGCGCGGCGGACGGCGCGGCUCACACGAAGAUCUGGAUGCGGUCGCGGAUGGGCUGGCGGCAGAUGGGGCAGGCGCUGAGCGCGGAGCCGCAGGGGGCGCAUGCGCCGUGGCCGCACUGGAACACGAGGCGGAUGUGGCUGUCGAUGCAGAUGGGGCAGGUGAUGCGUUCCUCCAUCUGCCGGUAGCGGCUCUGCAGCUCCUCCACCAGCUGGCGCGGCGGGCCGGGGGCGGGGGCGGCGCUCGCCACCUCAGAGCCGUCUGCGGGGUGGGGGACGGGUGUGAGCUGGGAGGCCGGGUGGGGGAAUGCGGGGAGCAGGGAGCUGCGGGGGGGCGAGGCUGGGGGCGGGGUGUCACCUGGGACGGGUUGUGACCUGCAAGGGGGGCUGGCGGGGUGGGUGAUUUGGAGGCAGAGGUGGGGCCCGGGUGCGGGCAGGAGGUGAGCCGUGGAAAUCAGGCAUAAGGUGGUGUGCGGGCUGGAGUCAGGGCUGCAGGUGGGCUGUGAGCUGGGCCGGGGUGUGAUGGGGGGGCGGUGCUCUGGGUGGGCUGUGAUCUGGGGUGGGGCUAUGGAGGGAGUGUGAUCUGGGAGGGGCCGUGAAAUCCAGCGGGGCUGGGGUGUGAUGGGGGAGGAGGGUGUUACCUUGAGGCGGGGCUGUGGGCCGGGUGUGAUCUGGAGCAGGCGGGGCUGGGGGCUGGGGGCUGGGGGGCCGGGUGUGAGCCUUGGGAGGGCGGGGUGUAACCUGGGGAAGGGCCAUGGGCGGAAGUGUGGGAGGGAAGGGGUGGGGGACGGGGACCCGCGGGCCACCAGCUGAGCAGGAGGCGUGUUGGGGGCGCAGAGCCUCACCCACCUGGGCGCAGUUUCUUGCUGACGACCACCUGGCACCUGAUGCACUUCUUCAUCCUGCGCGCGCACUCUGCGAAGAGGAGAGCGCGGUUGGCUGCGGCCCUACUAGCCGGGCCUCCCCACCCCGGGGCCCCCCACUCACCCUCACACACGGUGCGGUGCUGGCACGGCGAGAACAGCACCAGCAGCGCCAGCUCGGAGCACACCAGGCACUCAGCGGCCUCGGGCCCCGGCGCGGCGCCCACGUGCAGGUUCGUCACGGUGUUGGGGGUCCCGAGCGUUUGCCUGGGGCCCGGGGCCGCGCCCCCGCCCGCCUGCCGCUCCCUGCAGGGGGAGGAGGCGGCUUGAGAGGGGCCCGGAGGCCGCCGGACCCCAUCCCCGCCGUCCACGGACUCACCGGAAGCGCUGGGCGCAGCCCUGAAGGGCCUUGAGCACGCGACCCUCGGCGGCCAGGUCCAGCGGGCUCCGACCGCGGUGGUUGGUGUAGCUCACGUCGGCGCCCUCCAGCGCCAGGAAGCAGGCGACCGCCGCGCCCACCGUCAGCUCCGCGCUGCCGGGGAGGCCCGAGGCCUGUAGCUGGGCGGCAGGACAGACGCCGGUGAGGGCGGGCGCCGGGGCAGGCCCGAGGGAGGCGUCUCCUGGCACCUGGCAGCCCCAGCAGCCGGCGCCCCAUGUCUAAAAUACAAGGCAAGGGCACCUCUUCCGGAACCCAAGUGGGACAGGCAGGAGGGGCGCCCUGCUAGGUGAGCUCUGAGACCCUAAGCUCCACCUCUCCCCAUCCCAUGGGCACCACCCCUUUCCCAGGCUGCCUAGGGGUGCAGGCUGAAGGAUCACAUAGAACUUGGCUCCCAUCUGCUCCACCCCCAGAACGCCUGGCUCCCUGGGCCAUCACUGGAGGGGAAGGUGGACAGUGGCACAGGCCCUGCCCAGAGCCUGCUGCCGGCGCCACCGCAGCCUCUCCAGCACCCCACGCCACACUUCCUCACCCUGGACAGCAGCUGCAAGGGCCCUGGGUCCCCCCCGGCCCCAUCAGCCACCAGGGGCAGCAGCUGAUGACGCUGCAGCGCCACGUGCAGGGCUGUGUCCCCCUCCUCGUCCUCGGCGUUGACACUGCACCCAGCGUCCACCAGUAGCGGCACCAGCCCCACGUGGGCCUGUUGCACGGCGAGAUGCAGCGGGGACUGCAGCUUCCGGUUGCGCACGUUCACGUCACAGCGGCCCUGGGGAGGGGUGGGGACGGGCUCAGCCCAGGGACCCCAGUGGGCCUCCCGCUCCCCGGUCCUUGGGCAGGACUGGGCCGCGUCCGCACCUCCCGGAUGAGGAUCUGGGCCACCUCGCGGUGGUUGUUGAGGGCAGCCAGAUGCAGCGCCGUGAAGCCGUCCUCCUUCUUGGCGUCCACCAGCUGCCGCGCCCGAGCCAGAAUCUUUCUCACAGCUCUGUGGAGCAGGGAGGUUGGUCUGGGACCUGGGACUGCCCCCAGGCAGCACAGCAAGAGGCCGGCUGCAGCUGUGUGCCCACCCCACACUCACAGCGCGUGACCCUUGAGGGAGGCAUGGUGCAGCAGGGUGAAACCCUGGCUGUUGGUGGCGGUAACAUCGAUGUUUGGCACCUCCGUGAGGACCUCGACAAUGCCGCUGGCUCCAGUGCCCGCCGAGAUGGCGGAGUGCAGGGGCGUGUCCGAGUGGGCGUCCUGCUGGGGCGGAGUCAGUGGUCACCUGGGGGUGACUUCUGCUUGGGUCAAGAGCCAGGGCACCCAGGGAGCAGCACUCACGGGCAGGGGGCACCCAGGCCAGGGAGCAGCACACAUGGGCAGAGGGAACCCAGGCCAGGGACAAGCACUCACGGGCAGGGGGCACCCAGGCCAGGGAGCAGCACUCACGGGCAGGUUGACGUCACAGCCGCGCUCACACAGGGCCCGCACCACCUCCAGGAAGCCCCUCUGCACGGCCACGUGCAGUGCUGUGCUCUGGGUGCUGUUGAUGGCGUCCGCCCGGCACCCAGCACUCAGGAGCACCCUGGUGGCCUCGGGCUGGUUCCUGACAGGAGAGGAAGUGGGAGAGGGAGGGCGCCGGGCCCGGUGGCUGGACGCACAGGCUCAGCCCCGCCAGGCCCGACCCCAGGACGCACAGGCUCAGCCCCGCCGGGCCCCUCCCAGGCCUCACCCCAGGACGCACAGGCUCAGCCCCGCCGGCCGGGCCCCUCCCAGGCCUCACCCCAGGACGCACAGGCUCAGCCCCGCCGGCCGGGCCCCUCCCAGGCCUCACCCCAGGGCCGCGUAGUGCAGUGCCGUGUUGCCCUCGUCGUCCGGCAGGUCCACGCCCGCCCUGGCUUGUAGCAGCAGCCGUAUCAACUCCACCUGGCCCAGGUAGGCAGCCACUUGCAGAGCGGUCCUGCCUUGGUUCUUGGUGUCCACCUGCCAAGAGUGCCAGCAGGUGAGUCCCUGGCCCUCUGCCCCUCACUCUCAGACUGGCCAGUAUGGGAGGACGGGGUCAGGAGCUUGCCUGCUCUGGGCGCCUCCGCAGCAGGUCCAGAGCCCGGGCUGCGUUACCCAGCGCCACCUCCACCACCAGCCUUCCCGGGUGCUCUGGGUCACUCUUCUGGGCCCGAAGCUUGUCCAGGGCCACGCUCAGUGAGCCUGGGGGCAGGGCUGAGGUUAGUGGUGGCCAGGGGCAGCCCCACCUCCCACUGGCCGCCUGAGCUGUGCCGCACUUUUGUUCUCCCGGGCGCGCUCGGCCACGUCCAGGUUGGCAUCCUCCUCGGGCCGGUAGGCCACCAGGCAGGAGGGGCUGAAGGUCCACCGCUGACCAGCGACUGCUACACGCAGGUUCCCGUCUCCAAACACUUUCACCACCUUCCCGACGCGGCCCAGGGCCUGCGGGGAGGGGAGGGGGUCACAGCAGGCUGCAGGUGUGGGGGGCAGCGGCGCUAGCGGCGGGGGUGGCAGGGGGACUCACAGGGGCCAUGUCGUCCGUCCACUCGCCAUGCCCAGCCUGCAGCCGCUUCACUGUGUCAAGGUCGCCGAUGACCCGGACCACGUCGCCCACCCAGAAGGAGUGGUGCUGAGCGACAAAGAGGGGCGUGAGGGGCCCCCCAGCUGUGUGUGGCUGCCCAGGCUCAUGCAACAGGAGGGCAACCUGCUGAGCUCCACGAGACAGGCAGGCCUGACUCGGCCCCGGCCCCGACCCCGACCCCAGGCACUGCCAGAGGCUCUGGCUGGACGAGAGCCCCAGGUGUCCAAGGCAGCCCUGGGUGUCCCUAGCCCCAGAGCCAUGGGAGGAGUGUCCAGGCAGACAGAAGCCAGCUCUGGGCAGGUGUGAAGCCGAGGUGGCUGGCCCUGGGAAGCUGUACGCUGACCAGCAGCAGGCAACAUGGCCAGGGCCCGUGAGCCAGCGUGGGGGUGGGGCCCCAGGACCAUGGGGUGCAGGACGGGCCCACUCUGCCCCACCUGAGCCCUCAUAUGCAGGGAACUCACUCUACAAGCCCGUCUCAUGACUCCCUUCGGCGCCUCCUCAAAGGUGCCUGGUAUCCAGGACCCCAGAUCCAGAGCUGAGCUCUGACGCUUUGCCCCGGGCCUGCCCCUCCCAGGGCCAUCCAAGCUGCCACCGCCACCACCUCCAGCCCCCUCCCUGCCAUCCUGCUUCCCAGGCAGCCCUCACUACCUCCCCCACCACUCUAGGCCAAGCAUCCACCUCCCUGUCCUAACCAGCCACCCCCAUCGGCCCCCAUACAGCACUAACCAGGAGCAUCUUAGCCCAGCCGCCUCCCUCCCGCCCACGAAGCUGUCCUGCCUUCCUGGUGUCCUGGAACAGAGGGAGGCCCUAACCUGCCCAUUCCAGCUCCCAGAGACAUACCCUCCUCUGGGUUCCUUCACACCCAACCCCCUCUUCUCCUUGACCCCACCCACCUCCACCCACCAGUCCCUCCCCUUCCUUCAGGGCUGGGGACUCGUGGGUGCAGCUGGCACCCUAGUCCUGCCUGACCCCCCAAGGCCAAGGGGGUACGUGGAAGGGGUUACAGAAGCAAGCAGAUGAGGCGCAGCCCAGCCCCCCCGGCACCUUGGACAUCAGUGUCCAGCAGACACUUGACCUUGUCCCCGUGCUGGAAGGGCUGGCUGUCAGCACUCACCCUGCGCUGCAGCUCCGCCGGCUUGCCUGCGGAGGGUGGCAGACCAGGCCUCAGGCAGCGGCCCCUCCCCUCUGGGACUUCAGCCAAGGCAGGAGGGCUGAUGGAGUCAGUGUGACAGCCUCAUACCGAGCCUUGGGAGGUGGUCCUUGUAGUAGAAGCCGCCCGCUGCCUCGCCCACACACUUGAGGUCCACCUUGCCCUUGUGGCCCACACGGUACACAUUGGUGGUACCAUCAGCCCACGUCACGCUGGCCACACUCCGGCCUGUCUCCACAUCCCAGCCACGGAUGUCCACCACACGGCCCGGUUUCCCUUCCCCUCCUGGGGAAAGAGGCCCCCCCAGCAGGCUAAGGCUGAGCCAUGAGCCAGCCACAGCCCAGCCCUGACCCCGCCCCUCUGCCUCCACUCACCAUCCUGUGAGCCCCACUCCCAGUCGGGGCCUCGCACCACCUUCGCUCCCUGGAAGAUGCCCCUUAGUGGGAUCCUCGGGAGGCCCUGGCGGGGACUCAGUGUGACACUGCAAGAGGGUUCACAAAUAAAGCUCUCAGAAGAAAA